rnacentral:rRNA from 1 species
GCCCUUCCUACGGGAGGCAGCAGUGGGGAAUAUUGGACAAUGGGGGCAACCCUGAUCCAGCCAUGCCGCGUGUGUGAAGAAGGCCUUUUGGUUGUAAAGCACUUUAAGCAGUGAAGAAGACUCCAUGGUUAAUACCCAUGGACGAUGACAUUAGCUGCAGAAUAAGCACCGGCUAACUCUGUGCCAGCAGCCGCGGUAAUAAGGGCAA